UUUAAAAAAGUUAUACUAUAGAAGGAAUGUGCAUUUUCCCUAGGACAUGUGCAGUAUAUAUUGUAGAAAGGGGUAAAAGAAAUGCAAAUGAAACGUGCUGCUGAAUUAAAAUCCUAUUAGGGCUCCAAAAAGAGCCGCAAUAGGCUGUUGUUUUUUGUUCAGAUCCCUGUGUGUUAAUACAGAGUCUCUGAGCUCUGCUGAUGGCUUUUAAUCCAAAAGCCAAGCCUGUGUUGAUGCAAAUUACCUAACCGAUAAAGAAAGGUGAGAAGUGCCAGCACAAAAGAAGCUGCAAAUAAAAAACAUACCUGGUCAGCAAACAAAUUGCCUAAAUAAAAGGCAUGGUAUAACGAGAUACCUUUAAUAGAUUUGACGCUAAUGUUAUUGUUUAAAUUUAUUUCAAUGUUUAAUAUUACGUUAGUAAGUACCCCUGUAACAACGUAUAGUGUGUAUGAUUUUUGGAAAAAUCCUUUAAGGUAAUAUGGUAAUAAUGCUUCUCAGCUAUUACCUGUGAAUAAACUUAAAGCUUAACACAGAGGAAGAACAUUACAAACUUGGUCUGCUAUAUAAGAGGAAAAACUUGAGGUACACCACCUCAUGAAUUUAAUAACUAAACAGUGGAAUAAUUUCCUGAUAACCCUUAAAAAGUAGAAGCCAUUAAAACCUGGUCUGCCUAUAAAACAAAACAAAACAAAAAAAACACAGGAAAAUAUGGAUGUAAUUCCUCUGUUUUGGCUGCAAUCAGCAAGGGUAUUUUUAAAAGAAUGGAAUCUUUAAGCAAUAAUCAAUGCCACCCCAAAAGGGGUAGAAAAAUGUUAUUUUUAUCUUUCAGAAAAUCCAAAGUCCUGUAUAAUGGGCUGUGUGUGUGUGUGUUAAUUCUUGGGGAAAAGUGUUUAAAAAGUGUUAGCAACCCACUAGAAGACAAAUGUAAAUGUAAUGUAAGUACUGUGUUUACCAAUAAUCACAUAUACUAUUUGCCACAAUAACAAAAAAAGAAAGUCUCAGCUUACUGUAAAAACUGAUUUAGCUGAGUUCUCUAUCAAUCUUGGCACUGAAUGGCAAACAGUUACCAAUCAUCUGUUAAAAGGUAAAAAGGUAACAUAGUUCCUAGAAAAAAAACAAUAAAAUAAAAUAAUAAGGAAAAUGUGGAA